rfam:Ornithorhynchus anatinus chromosome X2, whole genome shotgun sequence.
CCCCUCUCAGGGUCACACCUGGAGAGUUUCCAGUACUCUACCGUACUUGACUAUGGGAGGGAGAGUCAAGCAGAGGCAACCCAUUCUAUUCCUAACUUGGGCAGUGGUUAGUGAGUGGAAGGCAAUCCGCUACAAGU